rnacentral:rRNA from 1 species
GAGUACGGCCGCAAGGCUGAAACUUAAAGGAAUUGGCGGGGGAGCACUACAACGGGUGGAGCCUGCGGUUUAAUUGGACUCAACGCCGGAAAACUCACCGGGGGCGGCAGCAAUAUGUAGGUCAGGUUAAAGGUCUUACCUGAAUCGCUGAGAGGAGGUGCAUGGCCGUCGUCAGUUCGUACUGUGAAGCAUCCUGUUAAGUCAGGCAACGAGCAAGACCCGUGCCCACUGUUACCAGCAUAUCCUUUAUGGAUGAUGGGGACUCUGUGGGGACCGCUGCUGCUAAAGCAGAGGAAGGUGCGGGCUACGGUAGGUCAGUAUGCCCCGAAUCUCCCGGGCUACACGCGGGCUACAAUGGUUGGGACAAUGGGUAUCUACUCCGAAAGGAGUUGGCAAUCUCUUAAACCCAAUCGUAGUUCGAAUUGAGGGCUGUAACUCGCCCUCAUGAAGCUGGAAUCCGUAGUAAUCGCGUUUCAACAUAGCGCGGUGAAUCUGUCCCUGCUCCUUGCACACACCGCCCGUCAAACCAUCCGAGUGAGGUAUGGGUGAGGGCACGAACUUAGUGUCGUGCUCGAACCUAAAUUUCGCAAGGAGGGUUAAGUCGUAACAAGGUAGCCGUAGGGGAAUCUGCGGCUGGAUCACCUCCU